rnacentral:rRNA from 1 species
CCUACGGGGGGCAGCAGUGAGGAAUAUUGGUCAAUGGGCGAGAGCCUGAACCAGCCAAGUCGCGUGAGGGAAGACGGUCCUAUGGAUUGUAAACCUCUUUUGCCGGGGAGCAAAAAGCGGUACGUGUACCGCAUCGAGAGUACCCGGAGAAAAAGCAUCGGCUAACUCCGUGCCAGCAGCCGCGGUAAUACGGAGGAUGCGAGCGUUAUCCGGAUUUAUUGGGUUUAAAGGGUGCGCAGGCGGUCUGUUAAGUCAGCGGUCAAAGCCCGGGGCUCAACCCCGGCCCGCCGUUGAAACUGGCAGUC